CCACCAUCACAGCCAGACUUUCCCUCUGUGCUCAGCUAUAUUUAGCUCUGUUAGCCCAGUCUGGCUAAUGCAGUAUAAAAGCUCCCGUGACCUGGCUUAUCCUCCAGCAGCAUUUCUAGAUCCACACCUCCGUGUUCUGUACAUGUUGAGAGCCUCAGCAGAAACACAGAGGAAACCCACAGACUGGUAGCAUCCUGGGCGAAAAUAGAGAGCAGAAAGAGGGAGCUCUGGCAGAAACACAGGACAAGAAUCACAGAGACAUCCCAGGAUGAAGCCCAGAUGCCUCCUCUCCACGGUGGACAGACUUCCUACCAUCAAUGAGAUGCAAGAGAGCGACUCAGGGGACAGAGACCCACACUGCUCCGCCCACACCAUGGAGGAGUACGUGGACUCCAUCAAAGAGCUCUCUCAGCCUGCUCCCUUUCCUCUCCACGGGCCCCUGAGAGGUCACCGCCGCUGGACGGUACGCACAUGUGCCACAGUUACACCUGUGGCUCCGUCUGGAUUUUUCAAUUCCGUCAUGACCUACGCACCCUGGAUUCCAAUAGACAUAUCAGAUGUGUCACUGACCUUAUCCGACCAAUCAAACUUUGACACAUCAGCACGUUUUAACUGCAACCUGCUGGACAGGUUGGCUGCAGAGUCCCUGUUUGCAGGCCUGGUGUGAGCCAGAGAGGUGGGAUUAAUAGGUCAAGAGAUUUCCUCCUCUACUGGAUUUACUCAGUUAUCCCUGCAGCAUGGUUUGACAUCAGCUCCGUGUUGGAUGAUUCAUUUAUGUGUGAGAAGUAAUUGAGUACAGACACUCUCCAAAAGUGAUAUGCAUGCCCUUUGAAGUGCUAAAUGAGUGCAACACAUGAAACAAAAGAUGAAAAGGGAGAAAUAUCAAGGGCAGAACAAAUGAGCAGAGCCAGCCCGAGGCGUGAAUGAACAUAGGGCCCCUAGCCACCAGGGGGCCCCCGCACAAACUGAAAAUGUGAACUCUCUUCCGUUUUACUCUGUGUCUUAAAUAUUUUAAGAUACACUCCCUGUUUUUGCUAUCACACUCUUCUGAGGGCCUCAAAUAUGGAAGAUUUAGAAUGUCUAAGUAGAAAAAAACAAGUGGUAGCCUGGGGCCCUUUAUCUAUCAGGGGGCCUUGGAAAACAAACUCUCAUAGGGGUUUAGAACUUGAUUUAAAUAUUCAAAGACACAUUUGCAAUCAGUCUCUUGGAGAAAAGAGGAUUUUAAAUGUCUAUAUAAAAGCAAAUACAUAAAAUGGGUAUUCUGGGCCCCUCAGACAUCAAGGAGGCCUUGAACCAACAGAAAAUAUUAAGUUUAGGUCCUGGAUUUAAAUAUCUAAAUACACACUAACUGCUUUUUGGUACCAAACACUUUUAAGGCCCCUUCUAGGGGAAGAUUUAAAAUGCCAAAAUCAAAACAAAUUAAAUAAUGACAUAAAGGGAAACGGUUCACAUUGUUGUUUCAUUAUUAAGUGGUCUGGCAAAUAAACUGUAUUUAUAUAUCGCUUUUCAGUUUUUUAAAACUUUUUUGCCAUUCACCCGUUCACGCACACAUUCAUACAGUGCAUUUAUUUGCAGCACAUAUCACACAUCACUCACACACUGCCGGUACAGCUGCCAGGGGCAAUUUAGGGUUCAUAAUCUUGACCAAGGACACCUUAGUACAUGGAAUGGGGAGACUGGGAUUGAACCACGGACCUUUUUAGUGGACAACGUGCACUAACUCCUGAGCCACAGGUGAAAUACACAUGUCUGAGCAAUAUUGUGUUUUUGUCUUAAAUAGCUGAAAGUAUGAUUUUUUAUUGUGACAUACCUUUUCAAUGCCAUGAUACAUAUCACACUACAUUCUGUAUAUCAUGUCACUCCUCAUGAGAUGACGCAAAUACCUGCUAUGUGUAAAUCUGUUUACUUGUAUGUAAUGUAAUGUUUUCAAAAUAUUUGUGAGGAAAACAUGAAAUGGCUUUGUUCCUUGGUGUGAAAACAUCCUUUCACAGUAAACACAGCAGGGGCUCAUUAUCAUUUGAGGCUAUGUACGUCAUAUUAAACCAUCUACAUUUGG